CCACAAUAAAAAAAGCAUCAUGUGAAAACAUCUGCCACAAACAUGCCUUUCCAUUACAAAGGUAUGAUCUUGUGAAAUAAGGGCAAUGCAGGUAGGCCUGACCUAUUAAUUUGAAAAGGAACUCCAAAAUGCUACCAGCAGGAAAACUGACUCUGAGACAUGAUCUAUAAAACCCAAUUAACCACAGUAAGUUCUACGUUUUCCUUCUGUAACAUCAAAACAUGAAAGUUUAUACCUUGUAAUUUAAAAACACAACAUUAAAAUCACAUAUACGCACAAAAAAAAUUCUGGAAAAAGUCAAGAUUUUGACUGCAACAUUUACUCUUCGCUGUGACGUGUCCUGUAUACUUAGGAUGUGAAGAAAACAAGUAUUUCUUUUUUUUUUUUUAAGCCAGAUAAACAAGAAUAGAAGUUCCACCUGAAGAAAUUUUUGUAGAAGAGCAAACUUGACCAUUCUCCAAAUUCUGAAAAAGUUAGAUUUCUCAUCCUUAAUGCUGCUGUUCCUUUCUGCAUUCCUUUCUUUAUAAAGGGUGCUGCCAGAAGGCAGUGAUAGGGUUACUUGCUUUGAAUGUUGUGUGUUAUGCAGUCAGAUAUUACCUACCCAUCCCAGCAUGAAUUAUGACACCAAGUUCAUAUCCUAGCAUGAAUAAUGUUGCUAAGUUUCUGACCUAAACAUAUGUUGUUGCUAAGCAGUACCCGGUCACAAGAUCUCCUGUAAUCUGCACCACUUGCUCUUCUACGGGAGAUGUGCUGUGGUCAGUCUGGUAACAUGAUACUCCUGCUCCCACGCUGGACAAUAAAACUCAUAUUUACCAUUAUGGAUGGCAAGUUCAGAAGUCCACCCAAUAUUGAUGGCAUGCACACGGGCCCUUCAUUAUACAUGACAGCUUUUCAUGCUGUAAAGAAUAUUACUUUUGAAGGAGGAGCAGAGAAGAAAAACUGAUCUUCCUUCUUGCAAGAGAGGCUUGAAAAGGUAGCAUGUCAAGUCCUGCCCUUGAAGACACAGUCUACGUGCAGUUCAAGUUAACGCAACCAGCAGGCGAUCCCUCUCUUCCUAGCACACAUUUCAAAAAAUUUGGUUUAUCCUGUGUAACGCAUACAGAGGAUCAGCUUCUUUCACGCUUUACAGACCUUCAGCAGACCUUCUAUUUCUCUAAAACGAACAAACUACUGUUGCAAUACCUGAAUCAAAUGCCCUCGCUCACCAAGCAGUGCAACGAAGGCCAGAAGAGAACGGUGAGCUCUGCGUACUGUCAGCGCUACAUAGUUCUGACUAUUAUUUCCGCUUGAUGGCUUCAGUUUUAUCCAAGGAUUAUUCAGUUUGGGUAUAAUGGGAGAUUUACAUGCUUGCACACAGGUCAAAUGACAGUCAGAAUGCACAUGUGUUGCGAUUUCUUCACCUGCAGAUUAUUUCUGGUGACUGUUAUCUUAAAACUUCUCUAACUGGCCACGGCAGAAAUUACUGUUUGAAUCCUUCUGUUUGCAGAUGGAUACUGAUGUCCUCCUGGUGUUCCAGGGGGAUACCACUUAGCCCGUUUUUUUUGCUUUGACAUUAAAUUAUAUGUUGUUUCUAAUAACAAUUCUUACAUACGCUGAAUAGAUCACAAACUCUCUCACUGGAAAAAUCUGAAUUUUUCCAAGUGACUGUUUCCUAAUCCAACGCUGUUACCAUGCUACUUCAAGUUUUAGAUGAACUUGAACGAAUGAACAUCAACUGCGGUGCCAUUCUCUCUAACCACAUGAGCGACUACAAACACUUUGCCAUUAUUCCCGGUAUUCCUAAAGGUUUCAGUAAUCAUUAGGAGACAUUCAAGAGGAAGUAAACAGAGCUAUGCUGAUUUUCUGCUCCAUGAUAAAGCAAAACAACACCAACCUGAACUUCACUGCCUGUCCUGUAAAAAAGCACGCAAAGAACAACAGUUUUGCAGCUUGCGAGGAGUUACUGUGAGCAGCUGAAAUACAGCUGUGAAUUCUGGAUGUAUCUAAUGAGAAUACAACAAAGGAAAAAAAUACUGCUUCGUUGAUGUAUUCGUUUUUAAUGAUGAUAUAGACAUAAGCAGGAUACAUAAUUUAAUUUUCAAGUUUAUCUAGUUUCCCAG
rnacentral:lncRNA from 1 species